UACGUAGGGGGCAAGCGUUGUCCGGAUUUAUUGGGCGUAAAGCGCACGCAGGCGGUGCGGUAAGUUUCGAGUGACAGGUGGUGGCUUAACUGCCACAGGCCUUGGAAAACUGCCGCACUUGAGUGCAGAAGAGGAAAGUGGAAUUCCACGUGUAGCGGUGAAAUGCGUAGAGAUAUGGAGGAACACCAGUGGCGAAGGCGACUUUCUGGUUUGUAACUGACACUGAGGCGCGAAAGCGUGGGGAGCAAACAGG
rnacentral:rRNA from 1 species